rnacentral:rRNA from 1 species
AGUGAACGCUGGCGGCAGGCCUAACACAUGCAAGUCGAGCGGCAGCGGGUCCCCGCGAGGGGAUGCCGGCGAGCGGCGGACGGGUGAGGAACACAUCGGAAUCUGCCUGGUUGUGGGGGAUAACGUAGGGAAACUUACGCUAAUACCGCAUGAGACCCUGAGUCGACGGACUGGGGGUGAAAGUGAGGGACCUUCGGGCCUCACGCGACCAGAUGAGCCGAUGUCGGAUUAGCUAGUUGGCGGGGUAACGGCCCGCCAAGGCGACGAUCCGUAGCUGGUCUGAGAGGAUGAUCAGCCACACUGGGACUGAGACACGGCCCAGACUCCUACGGGAGGCAGCAGU